UGGGGAAUAUUGCACAAUGGGCGCAAGCCUGAUGCAGCCAUGCCGCGUGUGUGAAGAAGGCCUUCGGGUUGUAAAGCACUUUCAGCGAGGAGGAAGGUGGUGAACUUAAUACGUUCAUCAAUUGACGUUACUCGCAGAAGAAGCACCGGCUAACUCCGUGCCAGCAGCCGCGGUAAUACGGAGGGUGCAAGCGUUAAUCGGAAUUACUGGGCGUAAAGCGCACGCAGGCGGUUUGUUAAGUCAGAUGUGAAAUCCCCGGGCUCAACCUGGGAACUGCAUUUGAAACUGGCAAGCUAGAGUCUCGUAGAGGGGGGUAGAAUUCCAGGUGUAGCGGUGAAAUGCGUAGAGAUCUGGAGGAAUACCGGUGGCGAAGGCGGCCCCCUGGACGAAGACUGACGCUCAGGUGCGAAAAGCGUGGGGAGCAAAACAGGAUUAGAUACCCUGGUAGUCCACGCUGUAAAACGAUGUCG
rnacentral:rRNA from 1 species